rnacentral:rRNA from 1 species
AGCGAACGCUGGCGGCGUGCCUAACACAUGCAAGUCGAACGCGAAAGCCCGCAAGGGUAAGUAGAGUGGCGCACGGGUGAGUAACACGUGGACAACCUGCCUUCGAGUGGGGAAGUAACCUUCCGAAAGGAGGGCUAAUACCGCAUAACACCUCGGGACGACAAGUUCUGGGGUUGGAAAAGAAGCAAAUUUGCUCGAAGAGGGGUCCGGCGCCUGAUUAGCUAGUUGGUGAGGUAACGGCUCACCAAGGCUUCGAUCAGUAGCCGUCCUGAGAGGGAGCACGGCCACACUGGAACUGAGACACGGUCCAGACUCCUACGGGAGGC